UAUAAACACUGGGGUUCAAGUGCCCCUCUGCAUCAGCACUCCUGUGUCCCUUGGGUCAAUUCCUAGCAGGGCUAUUGCUGGGUCAUAGGGUAGAUCUAUUUUUAAUUUUUUGAGGAACCUGGAGGAUAGUGACAUUUGAGUUACAGGCAAGUAAAGCACAGGGCCCUCCCAGCAUGGGUGGGCCUCACCCGAUCCGUUGAAGGCCCGAUGGGAACAGAACACUGACCCAAGGGCGGGUGAGGAGCGCUUCUCGGCCGGCCCGUCUUCGAGGAGGGGCACGUCUUCCGUUCAGAGAAUGCACAUUGGCCACGGGCUCUCCUGGGUAUCCAGCUUGCUGACUGCAAAUCUGGGACUCCUUGGCCUCCAUAACCUGGGAGUCAGUUCCUGAUAAUCCCUCUGUGUAUGGAUGCACGCGCACACACAUGUGCACACACACACAUGCACACACACGCGCGCACACACACACACGCACACACGUGCACACGCACACGCACACGCCUCCUAUUGGGUCUGUUUCUCCAGACACUACUGCUGUCUAACAAACCACCCCCCAGUUAGUGGCUUCAAACAACACACACUUCUUGUCUCACAGCGUCUAUGGCUCUUAGCUGGGGCUCCUGCUCAGGGUCUCAGAGCUGCAGUCAAGACCUGGCCAGGCUGCAUUUCCUUUGGGAGCUCAUCUGUGUGCAACCCCACUCCCAAGGCCGCUCAGCGUGCUGGCAGAGUCCCUUUCCUUGUGUCUGAGGGGCAGUAACCCAGCUUCUGGCUGUCAGCUGGAAGCCAUCCUCUGCGAUCAGACGCCGUCUGUGGCUCCCAGAAGUUGUCUACAGCCACUAGAGGUCAUUUGCAGCCGUUAGACAUCACACAUAGCUCCUAGAGGUCAUUGUGGCUCCUAGGGGUGAACCAUGGCUCCUGGACAUCAUCAUAGCUCUUAAAGGUCACUGUGGCUCUUAGAGAUCAUUUGUGGCCACUAGAGAUCACCCACAGCUCCUAGAGGUCAUGGAACUUCUAGAGGUCAUCCAUAGCUCCUAGGGAUGGUCCUAACUCCUAAGGGCAGUCCCCAGCUCCUAGCGGUUGUUCCCAGCUCCUAGGGUUUGUCCCCAGCUCCUAGUGGUUGUCCCCUGCUCCUAGGGUUUGUCCCCAAAUCCUAGGGUUUGUUCCCAGCUCCUAGGGUUUGUCCCCAGCUCCUAGGGGCCAUCCCCAGCUCCUAGCGGUUGUUCCCAGUUCCUAGGGUUUGUCCCCAGCACCUAGUGGUUGUCCCCUGCUCCUGGUGUUUGCCCCCACAUCCUAGGGUUUGUCCCCAACUGCUAGGGUUUGUCCUCAGCUCCUAGUGGUUGUCCCCUGCUCCUGGAGUUUGUCCCCACAUCCUAGGGUUUGUCCCCAGCUCCUAGUGGUUGUCCCCUGCUCCUAGGGUUUGUCCCCAAAUCCUAGGGUUUGUCCCCAGCUGCUAUCCCCAGCUCCUAGUGGUUGUCCCCAGCUCCUAGUGGUUGCCCCCUGCUCCUAGGGUUUGUCCCCAGCUCCUAGUGGUUGUGCCCUGCUCCUAGUGUUUGUUCCUAAAUCCUAGGGUUUGUCCCCAGCUCCUAGGGGCCGUCCCCAGCUCCUCACCACGUGAACUCUCCCCACAAUUCAGCAAGCGGCAGGGUCACCUGCAGAGCACCCACCAACAAGAAGCCUCACACAGGUGCUGUGGUCGUGAAGCUUCUCCCCCACUGUGGCAUGGUCCGUUGGUUAGAGAGGUCACAGGUCCCUCCACACUCCCAGAAGAGGGGCCUCCCAGGACAUGUCUGUCCACCGAUGACACAAAGUGUCCAUCCGUAGGAUGUACAGUCCUGAGGCUCACCCGGGGUCACCUAGGUCACAUGAUUAUGUUUUAAGUUGCAAUAAUAUAUUUCAAGACUUGGAGUUUCUCUUGAGUUUGACUCCUGAAAAAUUUAAUCUCCUGUCACCUCAACGGUUUAUUCUUGUCAGUUGUGUUGCUUUAAUUUACUGACACUUGUCCCAUGGUGCUUCCUCAUCCCUCAGGUCAGAAAUUUUCCCAGAGAUCCUUCUGUGGGCUCUGCCCUCCCAUGCUCCCGCCCCGGCGAUGACAGCAUCUGUGCCACACGCUCCCCGAGAACCCGAGUUCUGUGUCCCAAGCGGGAAGCAGGGCCUCCUCCGGCGGGUGUCCUGGGGGGCCAGGCCCGGGGGCUUGAGUGGUCAGGACAGCACGAGCCAUGAGCGGUUGGCCGUGGCUGGCGUGGACUCCAUACCAAACGGCAUCAUCAGAAAUGCACGUGCACGUGGACGUGCAGAGUAGACUCGUAGGGACAGUCUGUCACUCUCUCUGCUCUGGGCGGCCCCCCUCCCGGCCAGUCCCCUCCCAGGUGCCACGCUGUCCCCUCACGUGCCACCGCAGCUCGUGCUGGGCCCCGUGGCGGGAGGGUUUCCGUGUGCUCGCUCUCCCAUGUGAACAGCACCCGAGACCAGAACUGGCCCCAGGCCCCAAGCGCUUGGGCUCCUUCUUUUUCCGGAAGGGACCCUGCCCACCUGGUCUGGCCCCGGGCCUCCCCUGGGGCUGCCUGACUCCCUCCCGCGCUUUGUUGAGCUCACUGAUGUGCGGGAUGACGGUGAAGGCAGCAGGGCGCCCCUGGCGGACGUGCCCCCUCACCGGGUGAGGCAGUGACCCCCACGUCCCACUCUCCUGCUCUGGGGGGGUCUCCUGUGGCCUCCAGCUCCCCCACUCGCUGCGCCCCUGGGCUGCAUCAUAACGUCUUCGUGUGAAUCUCCUCUUGCGAUCAGACGGCUUGGCUGACAACCUCCUUCGCCUGUGUAUCUGUGUUUACACUCCCGUCACUCUGUCGGGGUGAAUUCGUACAAUUGGCAGGUGCUGCUUUCCUUACACUCGCCUGUUUCUGGGGGCCCCCUGCCCCCAACCUGGCUCCGUGGCUCCGUCCCGUUCACUUCCAGCCCCCGCCUCAGGCCUCCCCUGAUCCCCGCGGGAAGGGGUCUUGCUCCUCGGCGGGUCCACGACCACGCAUUGGACACUCACGUCCUGUGUCGCUUUGACCUUGCACCACGGUGGUUUCCACCUGCACCAGCUUCCCUGACACGGUCCCAGCUCACGUUCGGCUUUGCGUGCCUGCACAGGUCAGCAAGGGGAACCUGUCACCGGGUGAGAAGCUGUGUUCCAGCCUCCGACCCCCACGGCGGCCGGCCGGCGUCUGACCCUAGGUUUCCCCAGGUGGAAAAUGGGACCUCACACCUGCUUCGAGAGUGGCGAGCUCCGUGGCAAGAAACUGCCAGCACAGUGUGCAGCAGGUUGUGAGAAUCCAGGAAAUACAGCUGCUGCCCCCGUUGUCAUUGGCAGUAGUAGGGACAGACGUUUGUUAAGUGACUGAGUGCGAAGAAACUCCUUAAGGAAGGAGAACUGCAAACGAAGAGAGAGAGAACAAACCAAACCCCAGCUCUUAGAAAGGUCUGUGUUCCCAAGGCAGCCGCGUCCUCUGCCAGCCCGCUGGGGAGUCCGUCACAAGUCUUCGGAGGUCCCUCGUCGUGGCUGCUCCCCUAAGAAGGAGCGUGAGUCCAAGGCUUUUGGGGGCAGUGGUUAGAGAUUUUAGGGUCUCAAAGAUAAGAAUUAGAAAUUUCCCAAACUUUUAAGUGGAGAAGGAGGUAUCUCUCUGUGGGUUUCGGUUCAAGUCUGGGCCGGAACGGUACUGAUUCACCUGUAUUUUCUCGGGACCGUCCCCUUCAGUGCGCGCAGUGGCACAGCUGAUGUACACGCGGUCACGCAGCCGUGCUUACGGGACCGCUUCUCCCCACCCAGGGGGUCCCCACGUGCGUCCACACCGCGUUCACGACCCGCGCGAAGCCCCAGCCGGCCUCCGUCUUCUCACCUCUGCGUCCGGAGCGUCCGCACCCCCUCUCCGUUCCGCAUUCCCUCCCCGUUUUCAGAGCCCGAGCCCGGGAGGGAGAGACAGGACCCUGAGGUGCAAGCAGCUUCCAGAAAAGCCGCAGGGCUCGCCGGCCAGGCCUUCCCUGGCUUUGACUCGCUGAGGCUGCUGAUGAGGGUGUGAGAAAUUCAAGGGCAGGGUCUGCACUUCGCAUUCCCAAAUUUAUUACGGAGGUGGCAGGGGUUGGUGUGCGUGACUCCUCGCACAUCUCCAGAAAUGAAUUUCCUGACAUUUUGCUCUUAAACAAAAUGUAUAUGUGUUACCCGUCAAAAGCAGGUGAUUUGUACGUUCUGAGAUUCACGGGUUCUAGGAGCUGAUCUUCAGCAAUAAUGCUUGAUGGGCCAUUAGAGACAAGAUUUACUUGGUAUUUGUCCUUUUUCCAAAUCUGCACAUUUAUUUAAAACAGCGUCCCGGGCUCUCGGUUGAGGAAUGGUCUCAGACCCAGCUGCCGCACACCGGGCCCCUGCCAAACACCGAUGGUUCACAAGGUGAGGGGAUCCAGGGAAGGGAAGCGAGUAGAGUGAGAGGUGGGCGAGGGGCCCGUGGCGUUCUGCCGGGCAGAACGUGGUGCGAACACACAGAAAGCAGGUGGAGAAUAGAAAAGGGGGCAAAACUCUUCACGUCCCUCAGUUUGCAGAGCUGUUUGCCUCAGUCCGUCCUCCCCCAGCUGGUGAGUCGCGGGGCGGGCUGCAUCCGGUCCAGCGGGACGAAGAAGGAAGCAGGAUGAGCGAGGUGUGGUCUAGAGCCCCGUGGACGUGGGCCAGGGGUGACCUUUGAGUCCCACGUGGUCCCCAGUCCCUCCGGGAGCCAGCAGGGAGCCAGUUUGUCCUCUGGGCCCGUAGGCACACCGGUAAGUGGGGACUUCCAUACCAGGGGAGCGCAGUCUGACAGUCUGGCUGCAGGCUGAGGUCAAAGCCGUGCCUUAGUGGCUGGAGGCCCGCGUCUGAGCGGGGCUCUGCUCUGCUAACCCCCAAGUCCCCUCGCUGCUCUGAUUCUGUUCUCGUUCCCAGAAGGAAGGGGCUGGGCCAGUCGGCACCUGAGGGCCUCACAGGCCAUGGAAACUUCUGAUUUGUCCUUCCCCCCACCGGCCUCUCCUCCUGGUGCACACACGUCCCCAGCUUGGGGACAGCUGGCUGCCCUGGUUUCCCCCCCUCCCUGCCCGUUCCUCACCCUCCACCGGCCUCUCCUCACCUCUGGGACUAGCGCUUUGGCCGGCCGGGACCCCCCCCAUCUCCCCGGUUGUAGUGUCGCUCGGAUGGGGGCUCCAGGCCCUCCCUCCAGCUCACGCCCAGCCCGAACCCGCCGACCCCCUGUGUAUGCUACCACCUGUCCCAGAGCCCUUGGCUUUGUGCCGGGAACCGAGCUCCCGACCUUCCCGCCUCCCCGGUGGGGCCGCCUCAUCCUUCUGGAGCCUCAGCCCCUGCGGUGACCCCGACUCCUCUCUGUCUGUCACGCAGAACCCGGCGGGACGGGCUGCACCCCAUGACCACCCUGGCCGGCUGGACCCACUGCUGCCUCCGGCCGCAUCCCCUUCCACCGUGCUCUGCGCUGCACACGGCAGAGGGAGUCUCCCCGAAAAGAGGAGUCGGUGAUACAUCGAUGCUCCACGUCCCCAGGUGGUCUACAGUUGGUGUCAACACCCAGCCCCUUGGAGUGGUCCGGAGCCCCUAACGCUGCGGCCCGCCUUCCUCCCUGACCCCGCCUCUGAGCUGGCGCCCCAGCCCACCUUCGGGGCGUCCGCGUGCCUGGCCAUCUGCGGGUAGCCCCGCCCCCAGAUGUGUCCGCAGCUCUGUCCCCCGCCCCCGCAGGCUUCCCCCCCGGGGACACUGCCGGUGCCCGUUCCGGCGGGUCUCACACCUCAGGCCGGCCCGUGCACCCCUGGUCCUCACCCCUCUACAGCGUCUCCACAGCAUGCGUUACCUCGGCACAAACACUGUAGUUUUCCCGUUCGUCUGGUCUGUGCUGUGUAUCAGAAACCACACAGGGCGGAGUCUUGUCGUGACCACCCAUGAAUCAGACACGAGGAAAAUAUCUCGGGCUCUCGGGUUGGCUGGUGACGUCGGGUGUGGUGACGGGGCAGCGACCGCAGCAGGUAACAGGAGGAUGGGGUGUAACAGCUGUCUCCUCAAAGGCUUGCUGUGGAUAUUGUACGAGGUCACCGGCGAAGCGGGCGGAGGGCUGCCCACGGCCAGUGCCCAGUGAGGGUCGGUGCUCACGUUAUCCGGGGGUGUGAAUCGCUGGGAUCAACUCAGAGCCACAAGCAGAUGCUACUGAAGGUCACGGUUGGUACGCAGCAUCCGUGGGUGGGAACAGCAGCCCAGGCCCUGAGGGCUGGGAGCUGCGGGGACUCGAGGCCCCAAAAGGCAGGACGGGCAGAGUGUGGCUGGUGAACAGACCCCCCCGUACUGGGCAGACCUGUGGCCUCGGGUCCUGACACGGAGGCCCCUGGGGAAGGAGCGGUGGCCGAUACCUUCGGCUCUCUAGGCUCACUGGUGCGGCUUGAAGAACAUCUGUGUCCUCGUGAGGGCAAGGGUACCUUCUUUUGGGCCAAUCCAGAUUCCUCUGAGCAAAUCCGGUGGUGUUCCUUCCCUGAAGAACGCAAAACCUCAGUGUGGACAGCGACCCACGAAGCCCCUCGGUCGCUUCUCCGGCCCCUCCCCUUGCGUGGCGUCCGUCCGGAGGACAGUUCCCACGGGGAAGAGAAACCACCCAGAGGGGACUCGGGUCACAGUUGGAGGCUGGCCUGCACUUGGGGCCACUUGUCGGUCAGCUGCACGGAGACACCUCCUCCCUCACUUCUGGGGCGGUGACAGCGCCCAGCGCUCACUGGCCUCCCUCCUGGAGGACGACGAAUUUCCGCAUCCCGCGGCAGCUGCAGGCGCUAACAAAGCAAUCCGAGGUGACCCGGAUCUUGGUCCUUUGAAGACUUGGUGUGUUUUCUUGUGUGUUUGUUUGACUGCUUGUUUUAAAGUUUAUUUUUAUUUAUUUUGAGAGACAGCUGGACAGCAAGCAGGGAGGGGCAAAGAGAGAGACAGAGAGAGAGAAUCCCAAGCAGACUUUGUGGUCAGCAUACAACCUGAUGUGGGGCUGGAUCUCAAGAACCGUGAGAUCGUGACCUGAGCCGAAAUCAAGAGUCAGACACCUAACUGACUGAGCCCCCAGGCGCCCCUGAAGGCGUGGUUUUCUAACUGCCUUGAGGUUCCAGGCGCUGCCUGCGGUGGUCUGACUUAGGUAGGGCCCACACUCUCCCUUAAUUCACUGGACGUCCGCCGUCUCGUUCAUCACACGGCAACGACCGUGUGGUACCCGGACCGCGGCCGGGACCCAGGCACAGCCAGGUUCACCAGGCCGGCAGGGCCCGGCCGCCGCUCUGACGGGCUGAGCCCAAGACAGAGGUCCUGCCUGGGUUGGGAUCGGGCCCCGAGCAGCCAGGCUGGUGUGCACCGAGACUUCUGUGGCACAGGAGGCCCCGGGGCUGUGUGCAGUUAAUGUCGUCGAGGAGGGUGCAAGGCUCUUACCUCCCCGCUCACGCGCAGGCUGCCGAGGCACAGAGAGCCGCGCUUGUAGCUGUGAGGACAUUUCAAAUCCAAGACCUUGGGCCCCAGAGCUGAGGCUUCCGGCCGCGGUGUUACCGUCCCAGCCCCAGACCACAGUUAUGGAGGGCGUCUUUGGGGCCCGGGCCUUCAUUCCACAGCGAGCCUGCUGUGUCAGGACCACCUCGUGCAGCUCUGACGACUGUCCACCGGCCUCCUUGUGCUUGGGAUCAGACCUCAGGGCCGGUCUGAAGAGCACUCAAGAGGGGGUCUACCGGGAAAGGCUCCGCCCCAUCUCCUGGCCUGACCGCGGCCGCGCGCGCCCCAGGCGGUCCCCGGGGGGUCACCGUGAGCACACUGCCGAGAGGCAUGGGGCUUCGUAGGCGAAGACGUUUCCAUGCAGCUUCUGCGUCCUGAGAAGGAAAAUCGAAUGCAGUUCACAGUUUUGCAUUCAGUUCUCCACCGGGGUCAAUUAAAUACCCACACUUGUCUGAAGCAGGAGAGCAUCAGCUAAGACUCUUAACGGCUAUUUCCAAGGUCCGGCGGUGGACUGAAACAUCCCGAGGUCAGGGCGGCAGCCGUGACCCCGAGGUCGGGCCGGGGCUGGGCCUUCCGGGGGCGGUGGGAGGAGGGAUACCUCUGCAUGACCGUGCGAGUGGUUAUUUUCACCCGAAACCCAGACGCUUCGAUGUUGUGCAUGAACAUACUCUACAUCUGGGUCUGGGGAGAAUGUGGAGCUCAUUUCUUGUUCGGUAAGUAAUAGAAAGUUCUUGUGGCUUUG